GACAGUGCUGGAGAAAGAAGAUCAUGAAAGCAGCUCCUUGUGAAGCUCCACUUAGGAUGUGCUUGUGCCGAGAAUGGAAUGACAAGCAGUGGCCAAAGAAUUUCAGAGGUGAACAGUGACUUCCCUCAAGAUGGUUCCAGACAUUGACACCUCCUUCAGGAAUCUAAUUAUGCUCAUUCCUUUCUGUGACUAAUCUAUUUGCUGCCAGUAGAUCAGCAGUCAGAGCUGCUGUCAUGAAGAUUAGUGCCUCCAUUAAGAGGAUGUUGUGUUCAUUUAGAGGGAAAUAAAUGGACCACGGGAAUGAAGAUAGUAAUGAGGCAGAAGCUGUUUAACUUCAUCCAGGGCAGGUGUGGAAUAGCAGGAGGGAGCAGAUGUGGAGGAAUGCAGACUAGCUGUACAUAGUGAUGUGCACAGUUUGCCUGCUGUGCCUACGUGCAAGAGCAACGGAAGAACCAGAUCAAAUGGUGGUAAACAGAUUUAGUGGUAAACUUUCUCACCAGUUGGAAGUGUUGCCUCUGCAGAAUACAAAUAUUUCAAAUUAGUUAAAAGACUACGCACUGAUAAAUUACUACCUUUCCAAUAAAGCUGUUGUGCUGAAACAGCCCUUGAAGCA